rnacentral:lncRNA from 1 species
UCCAAAAUAUCUCCAUAAUUUGAUAACAUCCUAUUCCCUUCACCUCAAUAAAAGGUUUGAUGAAACAUCUUAUACUUUUUUAUUUUUAAUGAGAAUAGGUAAUUACUGCACAUUAAAAAGAAUUGUUCGCAAGAUAACCGGGGCUGGAAAUUGGUUGCGUUAACUUGUGACCAGACCCAUGCACCACUUGGGUUUAAUUUUUCAAUCCAACUUGACAUGACCCGAUCUGUCCUUAUUUAAAAAGAAAGAAACCAAACUUCUAUCAUCAGACGCUGAAAGAGAGGAGAAUUUAAAGCACACCACGGUUUAUUUAAUUAGUCACCUGAACCUUGCACACAGAAACACACAACCAUUUUCCUUUCACACUCACUAGAACAGGACACUUGAGGAAAGAAAAUCACAUAACAAUCCUAACUAGCUCGCACACGCAAACCAGAAAACAGAACAAGC